GUAAAGCGUGCGCAGGCGGUUUGUAAGACUGUCUGAAAUCCCCGGGCUCAACCUGGGAAUGGCGAUGGUGAACUGCAAGGCUAGAGUUUGGCAGAGGGGGUAGAAUUCCACGUGUAGCAGUGAAAUGCGUAGAUAUGCGGAGGAACACCGAUGGCGAAGGCAAUCCCCUGGACCUGUACUGACGCUCAUGCACGAAAGCGUGGGGAGCAAACAGGAUUAGAUACCCGUGU
rnacentral:rRNA from 1 species